rnacentral:rRNA from 1 species
CUACGGGUCACACCAGUGAGGAAUAUUGCGCAAUGGGGGAAACCCUGACGCAGCGACGCCGCGUGGAUGAUGAAGGCCUUAGGGUCGUAAAAUCCUGUCAGGUGGGAAGAAGUGGAUAUAGAUUAAUACUCUAUUUCUUUGACGGUACCACCAAAGGAAGCACCGGCUAACUCCGUGCCAGCAGCCGCGGUAAUACGGAGGGUGCAAACGUUGUUCGGAAUUACUGGGCGUAAAGCGCGCGUAGGCGGUUUGUUAAGUCAGAUGUGAAAGUCCAUGGCUUAACUAUGGAAGUGCAUUUGAAACUGGCAGUCUUGAGUACUGGAGGGGGUGAUGGAAUUCCCGGUGUAGAGGUGAAAUUCGUAGAUAUCGGGAGGAAUACCGGUGGCGAAGGCGAUCACCUGGCCAGAUACUGACGCUGAGGUGCGAAAGCGUGGGGAGCAAACAGGAUUAGAUACCCUAGUAGUC